rnacentral:rRNA from 1 species
UACGUAGGGUGCGAGCGUUAAUCGGAAUUACUGGGCGUAAAGGGUGCGUAGGCGGUUUGAUAAGUCUGAUGUGAAAUCCCCGGGCUCAACCUGGGAACUGCGUUUGAAACUACAAGGCUAGAGUGUGGCAGAGGGGGGUGGAAUUCCACGUGUAGCAGUGAAAUGCGUAGAGAUGUGGAGGAACACCGAUGGCGAAGGCAGCCCCCUGGGUUAACACUGACGCUCAGGCACGAAAGCGUGGGGAGCAAACAGG